CAGUCGCCGCGGGAAUACAGAGGGUGCGAGCGUUAAUCGGAUUUACUGGGCGUAAAGCGUGCGUAGGCGGCUUCUUAAGUCGGAUGUGAAAUCCCUGAGCUUAACUUAGGAAUUGCAUUCGAUACUGGGAAGCUAGAGUAUGGGAGAGGAUGGUAGAAUUCCAGGUGUAGCGGUGAAAUGCGUAGAGAUCUGGAGGAAUACCGAUGGCGAAGGCAGCCAUCUGGCCUAAUACUGACGCUGAGGUACGAAAGCAUGGGGAGCAAACAGGAUUAGAUACCCCAGUAGUCCCUGUCUCUUAUAU
rnacentral:rRNA from 1 species